UCAAAAUCUAACCUAAAAGCACUAACUUAUUUUUAUUACAGGAGUUUAGGCUACUAUAUAUAGAUAUAUUUUAUAUUAGUUCAUAUUACUGUAAUAUCUGUGUCAUGGGUAACAGUAACAGUUAUGUAUUCGGUUGAUUAUUGUUUAAAAUGUACGUUCUGUAGAUGAUUGCAACUUUAAUGUUUCCUAAAUAAUCAGAAAAUAGUCUAUAGGUAAAUUUAUAGGUCAAAAAUUUAUUACUACUCUUACAUUUCAAGAAACUGUUGUAUUUUUAUAUCUGCUCUUAGGAAGUCCUGUCAAGUAAUAAACGAAAAUGAAUACACUUUCAGAGUAGGUUAAGACCAAGUUAAACAGCUAAUCAGUUUUGUUGGAGAACGGAAAAUGCAUCAAGUUCAAAGAAGAAAUAUUGAAAACGGGAGGAGGUGACAAUUAAGAUAUCUUAUGCGUAUAAGGAGAGUAGAGAAAGAGAGGCCUUGCCUAACAGAUACCCAUCCAGAUACACAUCCACUUGCUAGCUGGAGAUCAACAAUCUGGUGACAAAUCCAGAACAUUUAUCUUCAAUGACGAAAACCAUACCUUGGGGAACUGCUUAGUGUCAAUCAUUACACAAUAUGAGGAUGUUCUGUUCUGCGGAUAUACUGUGCCACACCCUGCCGAACAGAAGAUGCAUCUGAGGAUACAGACUAACGGGCCUCCAGCCAUUCAAAUCCUGCAACGCGGACUGCAGGAUCUGGAGAAGAAGUGUGACCAGGUGGCUGCCAAUUUUAAGACCGCAAGGAGGGAAUAUAUGAGUAAAGAAAUGGAGGAUGUGGACUGAAAUGAACAUUUGAUGUAAAUAUUUUUUAUAAAAUUCUUUUUUAAUAACA